GGAAGUAUUAUUUAAUACUUUUUGUUUACUUAGUCUAAACCUCAAAAACGUUUCAGUUUCUCUUCUCAACCUAGAUUCACUUCUUCUUCCUCACCCAUAAUUUUUUCUUCACCCGAUUCACUUCUUCUUUUUCCCGUUUCUCCCUCUUUCUCUCUUCUAAGUCAAAGAUUAUGUUUCUCAUAUCCACCACAACCACUCAACUAUGGACUACGAAUCAUAUCGACGUUGCUGUAACCGCAAUCCCCAAAACAGAGAAGAACCCGAUGGUUCUGGGCUAAUGUUCAAACCCUCUCCACAGGAGUCUCGGGAUCGCCUACAGCUGCGUUACCUCCUAUCCUAAUGACCAUUGAGGAUUUCGUUUCUCAACCGGGACAAGAACUUAUCCCAAAACUCCAUCCCAACUACAUCGGAGAUGCUACAUGGUUUGAGGCAUCUGAAAAUGGCAUUAGCAAAUCUCUAAACCGGAUGAUGUAUGAUUUUCUCAAAGAACCUUUUGAAACAUACUCAUCAAUGCCAAGUGAUGACAGUGACCUUUGGUUUAAACAGUUUGCGCGAGAAUUUAAUCUGGGAGCCACAAAUGCCAUCUAGAUGUCCGUCGAGAGUAUGACAAAGUGGCGACGACUCAAUAUUCCAACACGUUAAGUGAGUGGAAGAAGAAGUGGAAGUGUGGAGAAACUCCAAAGGGAAUAAACGACAAGGUGUACGAAGGGUUGCAAGAGUAUGGGGCACAUCCCAAGAAAAUGAAACUUCUAUCCAGAAAUCUAAGAACCGGAAUAGCAAUCGAGGUGGCAAAGGGCGACCAACGCACAACGCAGGGUCAACAAGCUUCUAUACCCUUGAACUACAACUUGUAAGUUUUCAACAAUUUCUAGCACAAUUCAAAGACCAAACGAGAUGGUGUGGCUCCUGAUCACUUAACGUUGAUGGAAGACACCCACACCAAUAAAAAGACCAAGCAAAUUCAAGACCCUUUACCUAAGGAAGAGAUUGGCAAUUCUCGUAAGAGGAUGGAGGAGUUUAGCUUAUCUCAACCUUCAGUCGAUGGAAAUGGCUUACCAACACCAAUCCCGUCGACAUGAUUAACUAAUUCGUUCUUGAGGAAACUCCACAACCCAAGGGUCGAAUCUUUGGAUUAGGAAAAGUUUCAAAAAGACUCUGCACUUGUUUAUUAUCUUCAUUACCAAUAUAUGAUCGUGAUCCUGAACUUGUGCGAGCCCUCCAAGAGAAAGAUGACCGUAUCGAAGCUUUUAAGAAGAUGAUGGAAAAAUAGAAUGCGAGGAACAAGCUAAGAGAUGAGGAGCUUGCGUCAUUCAUGGCAGAGAUGCAAUCAAACUUCCCCGUGAAUUCAAGUUCUUAGAUAUAUAAGACUAAAAUAUUUAAGUUUUAUUGACCAUUUUCUUUUUCUUUUCGAUUUGUGUAUAUUGCAUUUUCUU